GGGUCGUUAGCUCAAUUGGCAGAGCAACUGCCUUUUAAGCAGUGAAGUUGGAGUUCGAGUCUCCAACGACCCACCA
rnacentral:tRNA from 1 species